UAAUUGGAGAGUUUGAUCCUGGCUCAGAACGAACGCUGGCGGCGUGCCUAACACAUGCAAGUCGAACGGGAAAGUCCCCUUCGGGGGAUGAGUACAGUGGCGCACGGGUGAGUAACACGUAGGUAAUCUACCCUCGGGUUCGGGACAACAUUCCGAAAGGAGUGCUAAUACCGGGUAAGACCACGCCCCCUGCGGGGGGUGAGGUAAAAGGUGGCCUCUCCCUGGAAGCUAUCGCCUGAGGAUGAGCCUGCGGCCUAUCACGGUAGUUGGUAGGGUAACGGCCUACCAAGCCUAAGACGGGUAGCUGGUCUGAGAGGAUGGUCAGCCACACUGGAACUGAGACACG
rnacentral:rRNA from 1 species